ensembl:lncRNA
AGUGGGGCUGGCAUCAAGGGAGACACCAGUGGUGCAUUUAUAAUUGGCUUAAAGGGAUGGACUUGUGAUUGGCUGCAGGAAGAAACUUUUUUAUUUUUUAAAUCUUGACCAACAGAAACUUUUUAUUUUUAUUUCUGACUCUUAUUUUUUACAAAAUUUGCGCCUCGGUAUCUGGCUUCCCUGGAAGCUCUCCGAGCUCUGGUGCUUUAGUUAGGUCAUUUUUUUAGAAAUGUGAAGAGGUCUGAUUGGCUGCUUAAACUGGAAAGGGACUGUGAUUGGCUGGUUAAUGGGAAACGGUUUUUUUCUUUGAUUGGCUGCAGGUGUUCUGCUGAUAUCAACAGCUUCCCUAUUUUGAAUGCAGAAAACAGGGUCUGGGACAUUAGUCGUUAUAUUUGACUUGAAAAGAAAGAAACCAAGUGCGCUUUGCAAUAUUUAUUACACAAAGAACUUGCUGCUGCCUUCACAUUUGGGGUUUGUGUUUGAUUGGCUUUCUAUGCGUGUGUUUGGUUUCCCAUUGGUUCACCUGUGACUCCUGUUGCCAUGGUUUCACCCCCCCUCUGCUGCCGGCUUUGGGCCUGAGGGUCCACCUGGAGAGUACAUUUGCUUUAAUGAGUGCACCUGCCUCCAGCAGCAAGGGGACCCCGAGAACCCUGAGCAGGGUCCACAGCUGGAAAGUUGGGCCCCUGAGGAGCUUUGUGUCGUCUUGAACGAGCAGCCCAGGGCCUAGAGGUAACCGUUAGGUGGGAUUUAUGUACAUUGCCUGCAUGAGCUGGCAACCAGCCGGCGUCCCUUGGUGAGAAAGGGAUUGCUGAGGCACCAUCCAGGCCCCACCGGCCAGGCCGGGCCCAGCAGAGGCGUACUACCCAGCUCUGUCCUCUUGGCCAUCCCUCUGUGUACCACUUCCUGAGGCCUCAUUUUGGGGGUCAUCUUGGAAAGGGGAGGAGCUUCUCCCAGUGUGAGACCCCAAAGAAUCUGGAGGUCAUCUAGCGGAGGUCUCUGCUUGGGGGCCCAGAACCCACAUAAAAGCCCCAGCUUGGCUCACAAGGCCCAGGAGACCUCCAGCUAAACACCAACCCCUGACCUACCCCAGCCAGGCUCCUACCUGUCUGCUGCCAGCGCAGCAGGUCCUGGCCAGCUCUGGAGUUCUCAUCGGAGGCCCAUGCCCUCCACUCCACUGCCUUUGGAAGGGUCUCUCUCCAGGUCAGCCUGGAAGGGACAGUAUCGUUUGUUUAUGAAAUGCCACUGGGACAGCUGGCUGGGCCUUCACCAAGCAAGUCCCUUCAGACUGGCCCUUAAGCCAAACUCAGGCCCAGAAUUGCAGUUCAGAAUGGCAGUCCUGGAGGUAGGGCGUGAGGGGCAGAUCUAGUGUUCCUGUACCAACCCUAAGUCCUUCCACCUGCCACCCCCUUCCCUGGGAGGGAGGUGGUCCUCCUGUCUCCCUGGAUCACUGGCAGUUGUGGGAUCUGGGGAGCGGGGUUGGAGAAAGAUGCAGUCCUCAGGAAGGGGGCCGCCACCCUCCCCUACGCUGGUAGAUGCUGAGGCUCCUAGGUGCCCAGAGCCAGGGGGACCCUCUCAGAACCAAGUCUUUCCCCUUUCUCGGGGCUUGGGACUCGGGCCGUAGGGGCUCCUGAGUGUCACGAAAUGCACAGGAGCCAAAUGACCGAGCCCUGGAGAGCCCCAUGGUCGAUGGGUGGUUCAUGCUGUGCUCUAGCACCAUCAGCCUGUUCCAGAAGGAGGAUUCGAGCAUCAGGCUAAGACCCUGUGUCCUCCACCGUGCACUCACCCCUAGCCCUGGUUAGCUGACAGUCAGCUGUGGGGAACACAGCUACAACCCUACCCUGGCAGGGACCUGAGAGCAUCUCAGGAGGGGCAGCGCAUGUGUGCAUGUGCUGUGUGAGUGAGCACACCCGUGUGCGCACUCAGAUACACAUGUGCACACACACGCACUCUCCCGGCUCAGGGGCUUGGAGGUCUGGCUGAGCCCCUGGGGAAAGGUGAGUUCUUUCAUCUCCCUCCUCCAGGUCGGAGUGCCUGGAGUCAGGUGUCAAGGCCACAUUGCUGGCUGCCCCCUCUUUGUAGCUCCUAUAAAGGGCCCACACCCGGUGGAUACCUGGUUGAGCGUGUGGUCUCUGCCCCAGCCUGUCCUUGUCAUGAUCACAGGCCUUGCUUUUGUAACAAUGACGACCCUGGCCUGUCUCAUCUUCUGAAGAGGAAAAGUCAAAGUGUUGCUGUGGCUUCAUAUCUCAACUAAAAAUAUAUCUGUUGGAGAAAGAAAUUAACAAUAAAGAAUUUUCAU